AUUGAACGCUGGCGGCACGCUUUACACAUGCAAGUCGAGCGGUCAAAAUGAGGGGGCUUGCCCCCGAAAGACGAGCGGCGGACGGGUGAGUAACGCAUGGGAAUGCGCUCAGUAGUGGGGGACAACCCUGGGAAACCAGGGCUAAUACCGCAUGUUUUCCACGGAACAAAGCGGGGGACUUCUUCGGAAACCUCGCGCUAUUGGAGCAGCCCAUGUCCGAUUAGCUUGUUGGCGGGGUAACGGCCCACCAAGGCGACGAUCGGUAGCUGGUCUGAGAGGAUGAUCAGCCACACCGGGACUGAGACACGGCCCGGACUCCUACGGGAGGCAGCAGUGGGGAAUAUUGGACAAUGGGGGCAACCCUGAUCCAGCGAUGCCGCGUGAGUGAAGAAGGCCUUCGGGUUGUAAAGCUCUUUCGCAGGGAAAGAAAAAACGCGGGCGAACAGGCCGCGUCCAUGACGGUACCCUGAGAAGAAGCGCCGGCUAACUUCGUGCCAGCAGCCGCGGUAAUACGGGGGGCGCAAGCGUUAAUCGGAAUUACUGGGCGUAAAGCGUGCGUAGACGGCCGAGCAAGUCAGAUGUGAAAGCCCCGGGCUCAACCCGGGAAUUGCGUCCGAAACUGCCCGGCUAGAGUUCGGCAGAGGAAGGUGGAAUUCCGCGUGUAGCGGUGAAAUGCGUAGAGAUGCGGAAGAACACUAAUGGCGAAGGCAUCCUUCUGGGCCGACACUGACGCUGAGUCACGAAAGCGUGGGGAGCAAACAGGAUUAGAUACCCUGGUAGUCCACGCCCUAAACGAUGCCCGCUAGCUGUCGGGGGGAUUUCCCCCCGGUAGCGAAGCUAACGCGUUAAGCGGGCCG
rnacentral:rRNA from 1 species